UACGAGGGGGGCGAGCGUUGUUCGGAAUUAUUGGGCGUAAAGGGUGCGUAGGCGGUUUGGUAAGUCUUGUGUGAAAUCUUCGGGCUCAACUCGGAGCCUGCACGAGAAACUGCCGGGCUUGAGUGUGGGAGAGGUGAGUGGAAUUCCUGGUGUAGCGGUGAAAUGCGUAGAUAUCAGGAGGAACACCUGUGGCGAAAGCGGCUCACUGGACCAUAACUGACGCUGAUGCACGAAAGCUAGGGGAGCAAACAGG
rnacentral:rRNA from 1 species